AUGUCGAAGGGACCUGCCGUUGGCCUUGGCACUGCCUACUCUUGCAUGGUGCCUUCCAACAGGGGAAAGUGGAGGUCACUGCCAACGAUCCGGCGCCCGGGCCGCGCCCAGCUGCCCUGCCUCACGGACGCCGAACGCAUGAUCGGUGAUGCUGCAGAGAACCCUGCGCGAUGAAUGUCUGGUUAGACGUAGAUCUGAUGAUGCUGUGGUCCAGUCUGACCUGAAGCCCAGUCCCUUCGUGGCAGGCCCAAGGUCCAAGCGGACUACAAAGGCAAGACAAACGUCCCAUCCCAAGGAUGUCUCCUCCAAGGUUCUCACAAAGAUGAAGGAGGUUGCAGAAGCCUAUCUUGGGAAGACUGUUACAAAUGCUGCGGUUACUGCCGCAGCAUACUUGAGUGACUCAGGCCAGGCAACAAAAGAUGGCAGAGCCAUUGAUGGUAUGAAUGUACUGAGAAUUAUCAAUGAACCAACCGCUGCUAUUGCUUUCAGCUUAGACCAGAAGGCUGGGGCUGAAAGCAAUGUGCUGAUCUUUGAUUUGGGAGCUGGCACUUUUGAUGUGUUAAUCUUCUCUAUUGAGAUGGAAUCUUUGGGGUCAGUUCUACAGCAGGAGACACCCACCUGGGUGGAGGAGGCUUUGACAACCGAAUGGUAAACCAUCUCAUUGCCAGAUUCAAACGCAAGCACAUGCAGCACACAGUGAGGAGCUGGGCUGUGCGCCGUCGGGGCGCGGCUGUGCGCGGGCCAGGCGACCCGUCCUCCAGCACGCAGGCCAGCAUCGAGGCUGACUCCUGCACCUCCACCACCGGGCUCCGUCUGAAGACUGAAUGCUGACCUGUUCUGUGGCACUCCGGGUCCUGUAGAAAAAGCCCUCCAUGGUGCCAAACUAGACGAGUUGCAAGUCCAUCACAUUGUCCUGGUGGGUGGUGCCACCCACAUUCCCAAGAUCCAGAAGCUUCUACACGACUUCUUCCACGGGAAAGAGCUGAAUAAGAGCAUUAACCCGACGAAGCUGUUGCUUAUGGUGCAUCGGCCCAGGCACCCAUUCUAUCUGAAGACAAGUCUGAAACUUUCAGGAUCUGCUGCGCGUGGGUGUCACCCCUCUGUCCUGGGUACGGAGACUGCUGGUGGAGUCAUGACCUUCCUCAUUAAACACAAUAAACCUUUCCUACCAGACAGACUCAGACCUUCACCACCGACGCUGACAACCAGCCCGGUGUGCUCAUUCAGGCAUACGAGUGCGACCAGGCCACACCCAGGGACAGCCGCCGGCUCGCACAGCCGAAGCGCACAGGCGUGCCUUCUGCACCUCGUGUUCCUCACUUGACAGUGAGGGCAACUCCACCCUCACUGUCUCUGCUGUAGGUAAGAGCAGGAGAGAGAACACAAUCACAAUCACCAAUGGCAAAGGUUGUCUUAGCAAGGAGGGCGUUGAAGGCAUGGUUCGGGAAGCUGAGAAGGACAAAGCUGAGGGUGAGAAGCCGAGAACUCCCUGGAAUCCUACGCAUUCCGCAUGAAAGCAACUGUUGAAGAAGAGACACUCCAGGGCGAGAUGAAUGGUGAGGACAAGGAGACCCUUGACAAGUGUAAUGAGCUCAUCCGUUGGUUGGAUAAGAAUCAGACUGCAGAAAAGGAAGAAUUUGAAAUCAGCAGAAAGAACUGGAGAAUGUGGGUGACCCCAUCCCCAACAAGCUGCCCCAGACUGCGGGUGGCACGCGGGAGGCGUGCCCGGAGGUGUGCCGGGGGCAGGGGGAGAGCUUCUCCCACAGAGCUUCCCUGAGCCUACCAUUGACGAGGCUGACUGA